GGUGAUACAUCCUCGGGUGACCACCUCUGCUGUCUCCACCCCUAGAAGCUGGGCUGUUGAGCAAGAGCGGCCCGAAGUGUGGGAGUCCAAGUGCACUUGGAAACACGUGCAGAGCUUCCCUGCUCCUCGGCAGCGCUGCCUGAAUUGMGGUAGCGCUGAGGUUGCAGCUUGUGCCUGGGCGCGAUGCUGCGAGGCCAGCGGCGCCCCGGUGCGAGGUGUGGGUGAGGCCUGGAGGAAGCCUUGGUGAGAGAGAGGCUCUGCCUGUAGGGUCAAGGUGAAGCAGCUCUGCACACACGAUGGCACAAUUUAACAUGAGUAUUUUCUAGGGCUCCUGCAGAAUACCAUGCCUUUGGAAAGUGCUCAAAGAAUUUUCAUAGAAACUUGAAAAGAGGUGUGCUGUACUGUUGAUCAGAUACCUCAUAUGUUCCAAAUUGGUAAAUUCUUUGCUGUUUGACUAAUAGCCUUAAUGAGGAAAAAAUGAAUGGCUUUUGUGGAAUAAACUCAAAUGAUGCUGUGCAGACUCCUCAUGUGGGACAGACACAGCAGUGAUGGUGUCAGCAUCUCUGGCAGUCCACACUGUCURUAUUAUUUUUGGUGUAUCCAAUAUAUUAAAUAAAAAUUG